UGGGGAAUAUUGGGCAAUGGGCGAAAGCCUGACCCAGCAACGCCGCGUGAAGGAAGAAGGCCUUCGGGUUGUAAACUUCUUUGACCAGGGACGAAGGAAGUGACGGUACCUGGAAAACAAGCCACGGCUAACUACGUGCCAGCAGCCGCGGUAAUACGUAGGUGGCAAGCGUUGUCCGGAAUUACUGGGUGUAAAGGGCGUGUAGGCGGGGCGGCAAGUCAGAUGUGAAAUACCGUGGCUUAACUGCGGGGGUGCAUCUGAAACUGCUGCUCUUGAGUGUCGGAGAGGAAAGUGGAAUUCCCAGUGUAGCGGUGAAAUGCGUAGAGAUUGGGAGGAACACCAGUGGCGAAGGCGGCUUUCUGGACGAUAACUGACGCUGAGGCGCGAAAGCGUGGGGAGCAAACAGG
rnacentral:rRNA from 1 species